rnacentral:rRNA from 1 species
UCGGAGAGGGCGCAUGAGAAACGGCUACCACAUCUACGGAUGGCAGCAGGCGCGCAAAUUACCCAAUGCAGACACUGUGAGGUAGUGACGAGAAAUAAUAAAGCGGGACUUCUGUUUCGCUAUUAUAAUGAGGAAUAACCAAAGGUCAUUCCGAUUAGCAACUGAUGGGAAAGUCUGGUGCCAGCAGCCGCGGUAAUACCAGCGUCAGUAGCAUAUAUUAAAAUUGUUGCAGUUAAAACGUCCGUAGUCUGUACGUCGUCCCAAACUCACUGCAGUCUUCCGUUUUCUUAAUUGAAUGCGGUAGUUUCUGCAGUCACUCCCUUGAUCAAAUUAGGUUGUUCAAGGUAGACCAAGUCUUCAUAUUUUCACAUGGAAUUGGGUGAGGGAACUUAAGAGUUUAAGUUUCUCGUCUUAGGAUCAUCCGGGGUCAUUCGUACUCGUCCGCGAGAGGUGAAAUUCUUGGACCGGACGAAGACGACCAGCAGCAGCGAAAGCAUCUGUCAGGGAUGUUUUCUGCGACAAAGGACGAAGGUCAGGGUAUCGAAGACGAUUAGAUACCGUCGUAGUCCUGACUGUAAACUAUGCCAACUUGGGUCUUGCUGGGCGAUGCUUUGUGAGACCCACACAGAAAUGAAAGUGUAUGGGUUCUGGGGGUAGUAUGGACACAAGUCUGAAACUUGAAGGAAUUGACGGAAGAGCACCAUAAGACGUGGAGCUUGCGGCUUAAUUUGACUCAACGCGGGAAAACUUACCAGGUCAAGACAUGGGCGUGAUUGACAGGCUAAUGACUUUUCUCGAUUCCAUGGAUGGUGGUGCAUGGUCGCACUUAGUUGGUGCAGUGAUUUGUCAGGUUUAUUCCGGUAACGAACGAGACCUCGGCCUUGUAAAUAGCUAUGCUGCUUACAGGGACAUUGGCGGCUACGCCAAGGAGGCUCGAGGCAAUUGCAGAUCUGGAAUGCCCUUAGAUGUCCUGGGUCGCACGCGUGCUACAAUGACGCCACGAACGAGCUUGCAUGAUGAAAGUUAUGCAUAAUCAGCAGUCGGCGUCUUAAGGGAUAGUCUCUUGUAACUGUGGGACUCCAACUAGGAAUGUCUCGUAAGCACAAGUCAACAUCUUGUGUUGAUUACAUCCCUACUCUUUGCACACACCGCCCGUCGCUCCUACCGAUCGAGUGUUUAGGUGAAUUUGAUGGACGUAAGGAAGUCAAAUAAACCUGAGCACUUAGAGGAAGGAGAAGUCGUAACAAGGUAGCCGU